rnacentral:rRNA from 1 species
GACGAACGCUGGCGGCGUGCCUAAUACAUGCAAGUUGAGCGCUGAAGGUUGGUACUUGUACCCACUGGAUGAGCAGCGAACGGGUGAGUAACGCGUGGGUAAUCUGCCUUUGAGCGGGGGACAACAUCUGGAAACGAAUGCUAAUACCGCAUAAAAACUUUAAACACAAGUUUUAAGUUUGAAAGAUGCAAUUGCAUCACUCAAAGAUGAUCCCGCGUUGUAUUAGCUAGUUGGUGAGGUAAAGGCUCACCAAGGCGAUGAUACAUAGCCGACCUGAGAGGGUGGUCGGCCCCAUUGGGACGGAGACACGGCCCAAACUUCUACGGGAGGCAGCAGUAGGGAAUCUUCGGCCAUGGACGGAAGUCUUACCGAGCAACGCCGCGUGAGUGAAGAAGGGUUUCGGAUCGUAAAACUCUGUUGGUAGAGAAGAAAGUUGGUGAGGGUGGAAAGCUCAUCAAGUGACGGUAACUACCCAGAAAGGGACGGCUAACUACGUG